rnacentral:rRNA from 1 species
GGACUACUGGGGUUUCUAAUCCCGUUCGCUCCCCUGGCUUUCGCGCCUCAGCGUCAGAAGAGGGCCAGCACUUCGCUUUCGCCACCGGCGUUCCUUCCGAUAUCAACGCAUUUCACCGCUCCACCGGAAGUUCCAAGUGCCCCUACCUCCCUCAAGGCUGCCAGUAUCCAAGGCAAUUCUCCGGUUAAGCCGAAGUAUUUCACCCCGGACUUGGCAGUCCGCCUACGCGCCCUUUAAGCCCAGUGAUUCCGAACAACGUUCGCACGGUUCGUCUUACCGCGGCUGCUGGCAC